GGGGUUGUGGCUCAGAGGUAGAGCGCUCGCCUAAUAUGAGUGAGGCACUGGGUUUGAUCCUCAGCACCACA
rnacentral:tRNA from 1 species